rnacentral:lncRNA from 1 species
ACACCUGUAGCUGGCCCUGGAAUGGCUAGAGACAGUCCGUCGCUCGCUGGCCACAUGCACGGGCGAACCAGUAGUGGUCGUGCCGGCGGCGAGAUGAUUCUCUGGCGGCUUCGUCGGUGCUGGUUACAAACAAUGGGUUGAUGAGCAUCACCAAGCCACAAGGAAGCAAGAGCAACAAACGAGGGGGCAUGUGAUGCUCUGGAAAGGUCUGGCCACGGUGGAGGCUCCGCGGCGGC